UACGAAGGGGGCUAGCGGUGCUCGGAAUCACUGGGCGUAAAGGGUGCGUAGGCGGGUCUUUAAGUCAGGGGUGAAAUCCUGGAGCUCAACUCCAGAACUGCCUUUGAUACUGAGGAUCUUGAGUUCGGGAGAGGUGAGUGGAACUGCGAGUGUAGAGGUGAAAUUCGUAGAUAUUCGCAAGAACACCAGUGGCGAAGGCGGCUCACUGGCCCGAUACUGACGCUGAGGCACGAAAGCGUGGGGAGCAAACAGG
rnacentral:rRNA from 1 species